rnacentral:rRNA from 1 species
UACGUAGGGGGCAAGCGUUGUUCGGAAUUACUGGGCGUAAAGGGCGCGUAGGCGGCACAGCAAGUCGGGAGUGAAAGCCCGGGGCUCAACCCCGGAAUGGCUUUCGAAACUGCUGAGCUAGAGUACAGAAGGGGCAACCGGAAUUCCCAGUGUAGCGGUGAAAUGCGUAGAUAUUGGGAAGAACACCUGAGGCGAAGGCGGGUCUCUGGACAGUUCCUGACACUGAGGCACGAAGGCCAGGGGAGCAAACGGG